GAUGAACGCUGGCGGCGUGCCUAAUACAUGCAAGUAGAACGCUGAAGGAGGAGCUUGCUCUUCUGGAUGAGUUGCGAACGGGUGAGUAACGCGUAGGUAACCUGCCUGGUAGCGGGGGAUAACUAUUGGAAACGAUAGCUAAUACCGCAUGACAACAGUUAUUGCAUGAUAACUGUUUAAAAGUGGCAACUGCUCCACUACCAGAUGGACCUGCGUUGUAUUAGCUAGUUGGUGAGGUAACGGCUCACCAAGGCGACGAUACAUAGCCGACCUGAGAGGGGGAUCGGCCAAACUGGGACGGAGAAACGGCCCAGAAUCCUACGGGAGGCAGCAGUAGGGAAUCUGCGGCAAUGGACGGAAGUCUGACCGAGCAAAGCCGCGUGAGUGAAGAAGGGUUUCGGAUCGUAAAGCUCUGUUGUAAGAGAAGAAAGAGUGUGAGAGUGGAAAGUUCACACUGUGACGGUAUCUUAACAGAAAGGGACGGCUAACUACGUG
rnacentral:rRNA from 1 species